rnacentral:rRNA from 1 species
UACGGGGGGGGCAAGCGUUGUUCGGAAUUACUGGGCGUAAAGGGCUCGUAGGCGGCCAACUAAGUCAGACGUGAAAUCCCUCGGCUUAACCGGGGAACUGCGUCUGAUACUGGCUGGCUUGAAUCCGGGAGAGGGAUGCGGAAUUCCAGGUGUAGCGGUGAAAUGCGCAGAUAUCAGGAAGAACACCCGUGGCGAAGGCGGCUCUCUGGGACGGUACUGACGCUGAGACGCGAAAGCGUGGGGAGCGAACAGG